ACCAUGGAUAAGUGGAUGAUGUCAGACCAGAAAACUACCCACUGUCCUGUAAUCAUGGGAGAGAAUGAUCAUUGCUGGGAAAAAGAAAUACUCUCAGAGUCCCCUUCAGGGUUCAAGAAGGCAGAACCAGCUGAAAUGAAAAGCACGCCAGAGACAACACUUUCAGUAGCAUCUUCAUGACGUUAAAUCACUGGAUGCCUCAAACAGCUUCCUACUUUACCUCCAAAGGAUGUGGUAUAAAAUGAAUCAAAUAAAGUCUACCAAUCCCUGAGUCUCUUAAGAAGAAACCAUCAGAGACUCUAGGAACGACAUCUUCAAACAGGAUACCCUCAGGCUUGAUUUCUAAGCCAAGGGCAGAUGCUCAACUUCAGACUUUGAAACUGUUUCUAGAAGAGAAUCCUAAGAACUGGAGAGGUAGCAGGCAAGGCGGGAAGACAAAUAUUCAGCUCAGCCUGGGAUUCCUGUUCUUUCACAGAAGUCAAAGGGCAUCCUGGAAAUACGGCCUGUCCAUGGCCAAGAGAUCACACGAGAGACAACAAAGCUGCACCCUUUGACCAGGCCAUUUUAGCCUCUGCUUCCUCCAGGCUGGUUGAAAACCAGAUAGAAAAAAACUAGAAUAAAGAUGAAAGAUAAUUUUUUUUUCUCUUUUGUUU